rnacentral:rRNA from 1 species
GCCUGGCGGCGUGCCUAAUACUUGCAGUCGAACGCGCAGCGAGAGGUGCUUGCACCUUUCAAGCGAGUGGCGAACGGGUGAGUAACACGUGGAUAACCUGCCUCAAGGCUGGGGAUAACAUUUGGAAACAGAUGCUAAUACCGAAUAAAACUUAGUAUCGCAUGAUAUCAAGUUAAAAGGCGCUACGGCGUCACCUAGAGAUGGAUCCGCGGUGCAUUAGUUAGUUGGUGGGGUAAAGGCUUACCAAGACGAUGAUGCAUAGCCGAGUUGAGAGACUGAUCGGCCACAUUGGGACUGAGACACGGCCCAAACUCCUACGGGAGGCUGCAGUAGGGAAUCUUCCACAAUGGGCGCAAGCCUGAUGGAGCAACGCCGCGUGUGUGAUGAAGGCUUUCGGGUCGUAAAGCACUGUUGUAUGGGAAGAAAUGCUAAAAUAGGGAAUGAUUUUAGUUUGACGGUACCAUACCAGAAAGGGACGGCUAAAUACGUGCCAGCAGCCGCGGUAAUACGUAUGUCCCGAGCGUUAUCCGGAUUUAUUGGGCGUAAAGCGAGCGCAGACGGUUGAUUAAGUCUGAUGUGAAAGCCCGGAGCUCAACUCCGGAAUGGCAUUGGAAACUGGUUAACUUGAGUGUUGUAGAGGUAAGUGGAACUCCAUGUGUAGCGGUGGAAUGCGUAGAUAUAUGGAAGAACACCAGUGGCGAAGGCGGCUUACUGGACAACAACUGACGUUGAGGCUCGAAAGUGUGGGUAGCAAACAGGAUUAGAUACCCUGGUAGUCCACACCGUAAACGAUGAAUACUAGGUGUUAGGAGGUUUCCGCCUCUUAGUGCCGAAGCUAACGCAUUAAGUAUUCCGCCUGGGGAGUACGACCGCAAGGUUGAAACUCAAAGGAAUUGACGGGGACCCGCACAAGCGGUGGAGCAUGUGGUUUAUUCGAAGCAACGCGAAGAACCUUAC